UUACCUUUCUCAAACCCAUGCCACCAACAUGCACUUAUAUACACACCUCUGUUCUUAUCAGCUUAAUAUCUGAUACGUCCCCUACAUGGGGACCAGAAUAUUAAACUGAUUUUUGGACUUUGGCGGGGUUUUUGGAGCUUGCUCCAGCCCUGCCGCGGGUUGGCCUGGCAUUGCACUACAGCCAGGAUCGGCCCACUUUUG